CAAGUAUGACAAGUAAUCGCGGCUGCGAAUGCCGAAAGGCUGCAGGUGAGGAAAGUCCGGGCUUCACAGGGCAGGAUGCCGGAUAACGUCCGGUGGAGGUGACUCCAAGGCCAGUGCAACAGAAAUAUACCGCCUGAUCUUUGGAUCAGGUAAGGGUGGAAAGGCAGCGUAAGAGACUACCGCCCUGCUGGUAACAGCAGGGGCACAUGUAAACCCCAUCCGAAGCAAGACCGAAAAGAGAAGAUACGGCGGCCCGUCGGUUCUCAGGUAGGUUGCUUGAACCUGUUGGCAACGGCAGGUCUAGAUAGAUGAUUACUCAACGACAUAACCCGGCUUAUCGUUGUGCUUGAACC
rnacentral:RNase_P_RNA from 1 species